UUUUUUUUUCUUUUAAAAAUUUUUCCUUAGUGUUGGUAAGAAUUUGUGAAUGUGUGUAGUACAGUGUAUGCAUACUCACAUUCCAGUGAUCAGUGACAAUGGAAUUGAUGAAGGCUUCAUUCUCAUAUGACAAUUUAGCAGCCAUCAAAGCCAGAGCUGAUUUAUAUUUUCUGUGAUCAGCUCUUAUACUUGUCUCUAUUUCUACUCUCCGGUCAAGAUUUCCCACAACCGAUCUGAACCUCGCUGAUAAUCUAUCAGGCCUCGGAACAUUUCCUUUCAAAUAUUUCAGCAUCAACCUGAAAAGCCCACCGUUGCUGGACACAAGAUUUAACCACGUCUCUAUUGCAUGCCCCAUCUGAGCCAUGGGAUUUCUGUAAUACAGAAGGAGUUUUUGGGCAACAACAGAGAUGAAAAUAAGCCAUCGAUGACUAAAAUCUCUCUGCCUUUGAUUUUCAGGGCACUCCACAAAUCUUCUGCUUUUUAUAUCAGAUGAAAAUAGGAGACGAAUCAGUUCUAAAAAACUUGCUUCCUCUGGAUCAACCAACAACUUAUUGUGACAGAAAUCUUCACCAUCAUAGUAGCUACCACCUGCCAUGGCUUGCAAGCAAUGAGGAAAUUUAGGUUGCUAUUGCUAUGUAUCAACUUCUC
rnacentral:misc_RNA from 1 species